CCUACGGGGUGCAGCAGUGAGGAAUAUUGGUCAAUGGACGAGAGUCUGAACCAGCCAAGUAGCGUGAAGGAUGACUGCUCUAGGGGUUGUAAACUUCUUUUAUAUGGGAAUAAAAUGUUCCACGUGUGGGAUUUUGUAUGUACCAUAUGAAUAAGGAUCGGCUAACUCCGUGCCAGCAGCCGCGGUAAUACGGAGGAUCCGAGCGUUAUCCGGAUUUAUUGGGUUUAAAGGGAGCGUAGGUGGAUUGUUAAGUCCGUUGUGAAAGUAUGGGGCUCAACCCUAAAAUUGCAGUUGAAACUGGCAGUCUUGAGUACAGUAGAGGUGGGCGGAAUUCGUGGUGUAGCGGUGAAAUGCUUAGAUAUCACGAAGAACUCCGAUUGCGAAGGCAGUUCACUGGACUGCAACUGACGCUGAGGCUCGAAAGUGUGGGUAUCAAACAGGAUUAGAUACCCGAGUAGUC
rnacentral:rRNA from 1 species